rnacentral:rRNA from 1 species
CAGCCGCCACGGUAAAACGGAGGGUGCAAGCGUUAAUCGGAAUUACUGGGCGUAAAGCGCACGCAGGCGGUUUGUUAAGUCAGAUGUGAAAUCCCCGAGCUUAACUUGGGAACUGCAUUUGAAACUGGCAAGCUAGAGUCUUGUAGAGGGGGGUAGAAUUCCAGGUGUAGCGGUGAAAUGCGUAGAGAUCUGGAGGAAUACCGGUGGCGAAGGCGGCCCCCUGGACAAAGACUGACGCUCAGGUGCGAAAGCGUGGGGAGCAAACAGGAUUAGAUACCCGAGUAGUCCCUGUCUCUUAUAC